rnacentral:lncRNA from 12 species
UCUCUGUGAUUUUUAGACUUUGUGUCAUGGUGUGAAGGCAACAUGUUCGACAGCAUUCCUGCCGAGGAAAUAUCUUCUCUGAUGGGUCUAAAGAGG